AAAGAGAGAGAGAGAGGUAGACAGAAAGAGAGAGAGACAGGUAGAGAGAGAGAGAGACGGGUAGAGGGAAAGAGAGAGAGACAGGUAGAGAGAAGGAGAGAGAGACAGGUAGAGAGAGAGUGACGGGUAGAGGGAAAGAGAGAGAGACAGGUAGAGAGAAAGAGAGAGAGACAGGUAGAGAGAAAGAGAGAGAGACAGGUAGAGAGAAAGAGAGAGAGAGGUAGACAGAAAGAGAGAGAGACAGGUAGAGAGAGAGAGAGACGGGUAGAGGGAAAGAGAGAGAGACAGGUAGAGAGAAAGAGAGAGAGACAGGUAGAGAGAGAGAGAGGUAGAGAGAAAGAGAGAGAGACAGGUAGAGAGAGAGAGAGAGGUAGAGAGAGAGAGAGAGGUAGAGUGAAAGAGAGAAAGAGAGAGACAGGUAGAGAGAGAGAGAGGUAGAGAGAGAGAGAGUAGGGAGAGAGAGAGAGACAGGUAGAGAGAAAGAGAGAGAGAGAGGUAGGGAGAGAGAGAAGUAGGGAGAAAGAGAGCGGUAGGGGGAGAGAGAGAGAGAGAUGUAGGGGGAGAGAGAGAGGGAGGGAGAGGGAGAGAGAGAGAGAGACAGGUAGAGAGAAAGAGAGAGAGACAGGUAGAGAGAAAGAGAGCAGUAGGGAGAGAGAGAGAGAGGUAGGGAGAGAGAGAUAGAGGUAGGGAGAGAGAGAGGGAGGGAGAGAGAGAGAGAGGGACAGGUAGAUAGAGAGAGAGGUAGGGAGAGAGAGAGAGAGACAGGUAGGGAGAAAGAGAGAGAGAGAGAGGGAGAGAGGUAGGGAGAGAGAGAGACAGGUAGAGAGAGAGAGAGACAGGUAGAGAGAAAGAGAGAGAGAGGUAGGGAGAGAGAGACAGGUAGAGAGAGAGAGAGAGAGAGAGAGGUAGGGAGAGAGAGAGGUAGGGAGAAAGAGAGCAGUAGGUAGAGAGAGAUAGAGAGAGGGAGGGAGAAAGAUAGGUAGGGAGAGAGAGAGACAGGUAGAGAGAGAGACAGGUAGGGAGAGAGACAGGUAGGGAGAGAGGGAGGUAGGG